rnacentral:lncRNA from 1 species
AAAAUAAUGUGAACAAAAACUUUUUGAAAACAACAAAAGGGAAGAAUGAGUAUCCAAUGGAGCUUUCUGUUUCUUCCAGGGUUUCCUCUUUUGAGCAAAACCAAGCCAGACCUUGACUACUCCCUCCGAGGCAUGAUUGUGCAGGUAUUUGCAGCAAAUCCUCCGCUGGGCGUGGGGAGCACGCCUGAGGAAAGGUGGCGGAAGACGGGAAGGGACGAUCACAGAAAGAAGGCAACGUUUCGGUGGAUAUUGUCGUGUCUGUGCUGAGCACCUGGAACUGCCAGCCUCUAGCCGGAAGAGGAAACCAUCACCGACCACAAGGGAGAAACUGAGGACCCAGCCCUUGUCUUUGUUCAGCUGCUGAAUCAACACACUCAGAGACACACCCGAUGUGCACAAUAAACCUCUUAUUGUAGAAGCCCGUGGAACCUGGAUUUUCUACACCGGAAAGCAGGUAACUGACAAAACAUCUUUGCCAAUGGCGUGUGGUUGCUAUAUUUUGCAUUCCCUUAUUGCAGCAUUUAUCAUGUAUUCAAGACAGUCCUUUUACUCCCAGCAGGCUGGAUUCCUGAGGGCAGGGGCAGUGCUUUAUUCUCCUCUUACGUCCAGAAUCAGGCACAGUGAUUGACACACGGCAAGGGUCUAUGAUUGCUUAUUGAAUUGUAUUCCUGGGGAUAAUUUUCAAUCUUCUUGUAGAUAAUCAGCAUGGAUACUGCUCACUAUUGAUUUUCAAAAGCAGAGAAAAUGCUGUUCUGGAGACUUAGAGGAAUACAGGGGGUGCAGGAUGACUGACAGCCAAAUAAAAGAGAUAGACGUGUGCAGUAUUCUCACAGUGGUACAUGCUCAAUGAGCAUUGGCUUCAGUUUAAAGUCACCAGCUGCAUUAGUGCCUAACAGAGAGUCAGCCUGCCCUGGAAGAUUUGAAGGCAGGCUGCGACUUCUCCUCUCCAGCUAUGAAAGUC